rnacentral:rRNA from 1 species
ACAUGCCUACAAAAUAGAGUUAAUUCAUCGAAUCCCAUUAUAACUCUGUAGUUAAGCGCGCACAGGAUAGUGUAGUAUUGGGAUGGGUGACCACCCGGGAAGUGCCUGGGAAGUUC